UACGGAGGGUGCGAGCGUUAAUCGGAAUAACUGGGCGUAAAGGGCACGCAGGCGGUUAUCUAAGUUAGGUGUGAAAUCCCCGGGCUUAACCUGGGAAUGGCAUUUAAGACUGGAUAGCUUGAGUAUCGUAGAGGGGGGUAGAAUUCCACGUGUAGCGGUGAAAUGCGUAGAGAUGUGGAGGAAUACCGGUGGCGAAGGCGGCCCUCUGGACGAAUACUGACGCUGAGGUGCGAAAGUGUGGGGAGCAAACAGG
rnacentral:rRNA from 1 species